ensembl:lincRNA
GCUCCUUUGUCCACGAGAUUUUCCAGGCAAAAAUACUGGAGCAGGUUGCCAUUCCCUUCUCCAGGGGAUCUUCCUGACCCAGGGAUCGAACCUGCAUCUCCUGCAUUGGGAGAUGGAUUCUUUACCACUGAGUCACCUGGGAAGCCUGAAUUAGCAAUACUGAGUCUUUAUUCCUAGGGAAAAUACAGCACUAGGUUUUUGUGAGCCUCUAAUCACAUUUUUUUCAAUUGAUCAAACUUAACCUUGUUUUAUGCGUAUUUCUGCUCGGACACAUUACUUGGUAUAUAUCGUUGAUUCGAAAUGGACACAACUGCUCUAACACACCUGUUUUCUCUGUAAUCCACAUCACAACUUUCUUGCAGUUAGAAAGCACUUCAGCACGAUGUUUGGGGCCAUUUGAAAGAGCACAGUCACUCACAAAAAGCACAAAAUUGUGAAGAGCCCUGCACUAGAUGGAUCACGGAAAGGACAUGUUAACAGUGUGAGCUGUAACAGGAGGGUGGAGCAUCGGUCGGCUUGCUGGACUUCAGCUGGGAGUUUGCACGUGGGGCCACUCUUCGAAUGUCCACCAGCGACCCUGAAGGCAUGAUUCCCUUGGCCUCAGCACCAAAGCAGAGGAGACCCAGAAGGAUAAGCCAGAACAUUGGAGAGCUGGGUCCCCACCCCAACAGCAGGACCCACAGGCCAGGUCUCACUGGGCUCUUGACGCAGAGCAGUGCCUCCAUCCAUCAGCAUCCUCUAAAGCCAAGGAGACCCUGCUUCCAGGAGGCAGUGAGGAGGCUGGGAGAGAGGAGGUGGCCUGCAGCAGCAGCUACGUGGCUCCCUCCUGCAGAGGGCCUCCCGAGCCCCAGCCUAACAUGGGCCUUUGCAGUCCCCAAAUGGAAAAGGCUUUAUUUACAGCGUGUGCUUUGGCAGACAGACCUUAGCAGCAGCCCGAAGGUGGAAUGCAAGGGGCCAUCAUGUCACCUCCUGAGAGGGUCUGUCAGUGACUGCUGACCUGCAGGGCCUGGCUGGUCCCAGGGGCUGAAGUGUUGAGAUUGUCCCACAGGUGACGGUUGGUGUCCCCGGGGCUUCCUGUGCCGGGCAAGGCAGCCGCUCUUCCAACUCCAGCUUUCCUCUCUGGAUCUGGAUCUUGCCACUUAGAGUGUUAAACGGUGUCCUCCCCAAAUUCGUGUCCACCUGGGACCCAGUAUGUGACCUAUUCAGAAAUAGGGUCUUUGUAGAAGUGUAAGACCCUACUCUUGCCUGGAAAAUCCCAUGGAUGGAGGAGCCUGGAAGGCUGCAGUCCAUGGGGUCGCUGAGGGUCGGACACGACUGAGCCACUUCCCUUUCACUUUUCACUUUCAUGCAUUGGAGAAGGAAAUGGCAACCCACUCCAGAGUUCUUGCCUGGAGACUCCCAGGGAUGGGGGAGCCUGGUGGGCUGCCGUCUGUGGGGUCGCACAGAGUCGGACACGACGGAAGCGACUUAGCAGCAGCAGCAGCAGAAGUGUAAUUGGGCUUUCCAGGUGACUUAAUGAUAAAGAAUACACCUACCUUGCAGGAGACAGGGAUUUGAUCAGGAAGAUCCCCUAGAGGAGGAAAUGGCAACCCACUCUAGUAUCCUUGCCUGGGAAAUCUCAAGGACAGAGGAGCCUGGGGGCUAGAGUCCAUGGGGUCACAGAGAGUCGGAAGACUUAGCUACUAGAAUACCAUCAGAAGUGUGAUGAAGGCGAGGGUUGAGACGCAGGUGGGCCCUAGAUCCAAUGAGAGACAGAAGAGCCUCCAGAGACACACAGGAGAAGGCCGGGAGAAGACACAGCAGAGGCUGGAGGCAUACUGCCGCCAGCCAAGAAGCGACUGGCCACCAGGGCUGGAAGAGGCAAGGCAGGUUCUCCCCGAGGACCCUCAGAGGGACGUGGCCCUGCUGACACAUUGAUCUCAGACUGGCCUCCAGAACUGUGAGAGAGUGUCUGGUGUCUUAAGCCACUAGGUUUGAGGUUAUUUCUUAUAACGACUCUAGGAAAUCAAUACACUGUCGAAGAGCAACUCUGGAUGUCAGCACCCUGACCCAUUCAUGGAGGCCACAGAGGGUUCAGGGACAGGAAGGUGCUUUAGGUCAACCUCAUCAGUCUCCAAACAGUGGGGCCCCACACUAGGCCCUGUGGGGGAACGCAGCUAAGACAGAACUGUGGCUGCACAGAUGUCGGGUCAGUUAUAGGACUUGGAGGGGACAUUACUUCCUCUCAUGACAGGAAAUCUGAGGAAGGGCAGCACCCUGGUUUUCCACGGCAGUGCUGUAGCGCUGUUGUCCAGGAUGCAGGCACUCUCCAUUUGUAUCAGCGCUUAGGCUGUUGCCUCAGCUCCUAACCCACCUUCCUCUUUAAGACAUGAGUUGGAAGGCCACCAGCCCCAUUUCUGCUUUGCCAGCUGCUCCCUGCCAGUGUCGGUCAACAGGGGGCACUAGAGGGAGCCCAUGGGGCUGGUAGUACCUUUCCGAGGGCUUCCUGCUCCUGCCAGCUUCCCUCUGUCUUGGUCUCUUCACCACACAGAGGCCAUUCCUCAGAAGGCUGAAUGAAUUUGCUGUUCUUCCCGCUCUCACAGACACAGCGUCGUUGCAUCUUCUCAGAAGCUGGGUCCGGGCCCCAGUGGACUUGUCCUUUGAGCUCAGAGACACCUGCACCAGCCUCGCAGCAGCCCCUUCCCAGAGGUCGGCAUUUCAGCUCCAUGCACCCCUCCUAAAAGUGUUACUGAUUCCAGCCUCUUUCCUAUGUUCUCUCAACCCUAAAAGUAGUAUCUGGCUACCUUCCUUUCUACCCUUUCUGUUACCUGAUUAACAUCUUCUACACCUAGUGAGCAAUUAUUCACCAUAAAUUCUCCCUAACAUAACUGCUAUGAUUCCCACCUCCUGCCAGGACCCUGCCUGAUAACAAAUCUUUCUGCCCUCCCACUCCCAAUAUGUAGGUGAUAUCACUCCUCAGGGUGACAGGGUGGCUGAAGCAAUGCCAGUUGACAAGUACUGAUGAGCAGUCCCAGAGGCAGCAAAGUACAUUUUUCCUUUUGUCCGCUUCCCGUGUGUUUUUAAGCGGAGAGAAACAUGCAAACUUCCCCUCAUAUUUCAUUGGCCAGAAUUAGAUCACAUGACCCUUCCUCAGCCAAUACCAGAGAGAGGAAUAGAAUACUGUGAUUGGUGUACGUCAAUCAGGCUUCAUCCUCCUGGAGCUGCACUGUGAUGCCAGCUGCUCUCACUGAGGUGGCCAGGCAGAAAAGGAGCAGCUGAACAAAAGUUGGGCUCUAAGCAAGAAAGAAAACGGGGAGUAGGGGAAGGGGAAGAUAGGUAAUCAGCACUGACUGCUCCAUCAUCCCACCAUCCAGUGGGAGAUGCUGGCAAUCGCAGGUCUGGAUGUUAGGUGCUGAGAUGCUGAACAGGGUGCUGGGCCUCAGAGAGCAGGUGGGAUAUGAACUGAGACACGAAGGAUGAGGUGGGCUUUAUCAGGUAGCAAGUAAGACAGAACAUUCCAGAAAAAAGUUACAGUUCUUGCAAAGGCACAUGGAGAUGGGGAGAAUAUGGCACAACUGGGAACAAUAUUUUUGGGUGCAAUUUAAUGGGAACAAUGUUUUUGGAUAUGAUUUGAGCACAAGGGGACAAAGGGGAAUGGUGAGUGAUGUGGCCUGCCAGGUCAGCAGGAAUGGAGUGGGCAAGGUCUGGUAGGGUACCUGGAGGCAUGAGAUGUGUGGCUACUGUACCUGCUUCAGGCCAGGAGAGGGUGGAGCCAGGGCUGCAGGUCCGGAAAAAGGGUCUGUGGGAGAUGCUUGCCGUGGGGGCAGGGAACCGAAUGGACCCCCAGCUCCUGUCUUCAAGCCUCGUGGGCCACUGACGCAGAGAGGCCCUGCUCUUUCUCUUCCCCUUUUCUCCACACAGGCAUGGCCUUUGUUGUUAUAACUGAACAGAGUCCAAAGAAGUAAAAAAUGCAGGCACUGACCACAAGGAGUUCAAAGCUUAGGUUUGUUUUCUUGCUUCAGUUUUUUUUUUAAACUGUGGUAAAAUAUGCAUAACAUACAAUUUAUUGUUUUAACCACUUUUAAGUAUACAGUUCAGUGACAUAUAGUCCCAUUGCGCAACCGUAACCACCAUUUGUCUUCAGAAUUCUUUUCAUCUUCCCAGACUGAAGCUGUGUGCCCACCAAACAGUAACUCCCAUCCCUGUCCCCUUCUAGCCCCAUGGUAUCCUACAUUAUACUUUUUUUUUUUUUGGUCUUUGUUGCUGCACAGGGUGUUUCUUUAGUUGCAGUGGGUAGCGGCUGCUCUCUAGUUGCCACCCACAGGCUUCUCAUUGCAGCGGCUUCUCUUGUUGCGGAGCACGGCGUCUAGGUGAGCAGGCCCAGUAGUUGUGGUGCAUGGACUUAGUUGCCUCUCGGCACGUGGGAUCUUUCCAGACCAGGGACUGAACCCAUGUUCUCAGCGUUGGCAGGCGGAUUCUUAACCACUGGACCACCAGGGAAGCCCGCAUUAUCCUUUUGUCUCGACGUAUUUGACUAUUCCAUAUAUAUACACCUCAUAUAAGUGAAACAAUAUUUGCCUUUUUGUGUCAUUUCACUUACGCCUUCCAGUUUCAUUCAUGUUGUAGCACAUACAAGG